rnacentral:rRNA from 1 species
UAAGACGAACCGUACAAACGUUAUUCGGAAUCACUGGGCUUAAAGGGUGCGUAGGCGGCGCGGAAAGUUGGGUGUGAAAUCCCUCGGCUCAACCGAGGAAGUGCGCCCAAAACUACCGUGCUCGAGGGAGAUAGAGGUGAGCGGAACUUAGGGUGGAGCGGUGAAAUGCGUUGAUAUCCUAAGGAACACCAGUGGCGAAAGCGGCUCACUGGGUCUCUUCUGACGCUGAGGCACGAAAGCUAGGGUAGCGAACGGGAUUAGAUACCCCGGUAGUCCUAGCCGUAAACGAUGAGCACUGGGUUGAAGGGGCCUCCAUACCCCUUCAGCCGAAGCGAAAGUGUUUAGUGCUCCGCCUGGGGAGUAUGGUCGCAAGGCUG